rnacentral:rRNA from 1 species
UACAGAGGGGCCAGCGUUAUUCGGAAUUAUUGGGCGUAAGGGCGCGUAGGCGGCCAUGCGUGUCUUCCGUGAAAUCCCUCGGCUUAACCGAGGACGUGCGGAAGAAACUGCAAGGCUCGGAGUCCGGAAGAGGGGGCGGAAUUCCCGAGUGUAGCGGUGAAAUGCGUAGAUAUUGGGAGGAACACCAGUGGCGAAGGCGACAUACUGGUCCGUUACGUGAC